ACUCAAAGGAAUUGACGGGGACCCGCACAAGCGGUGGAGCAUGUGGUUUAAUUCGAAGCAACGCGAAGAACCUUACCAGAUCUUGACAUCCCUCUGACCGGUCCUUAAUCGGACCUUCCCUUCGGGGCAGAGGAGACAGGUGGUGCAUGGUUGUCGUCAGCUCGUGUCGUGAGAUGUUGGGUUAAGUCCCACAACGAGCGCAACCCCUAUCCUUAGUAGCCAGCAGGUUAAGCUGGGCACUCUAGGGAGACUGCCAGGGAUAACCUGGAGGAAGGAGGGGAUGACGUCAAAUCAUCAUGCCCCUUAUGAUCUGGGCUACACACGUGCUACAAUGGUGGCUACAAAGGGAAGCGACCUCGCAAGAGCAAGCAAAGCCCAAAAAGGCCAUCCCAGUUCGGAUUGUAGUCUGCAACUCGACUACAUGAAGUUGGAAUCGCUAGUAAUCGCGAAUCAGAAUGUCGUGGUGAAUACGUUCCCGGGUCUUGUACACACCGCCCGU
rnacentral:rRNA from 1 species